rnacentral:rRNA from 1 species
UACAUGUGGGGCAAGCGUUGUUCGGAAUUACUGGGCAUAAAGGGUGCGUAGGUGGUUGUGUAAGUCGGUGGUGAAAUCCAACGGCCUAACCGUCGAACUGCCAUUGAUACUGCACGACGGGAGUGCGUGAGGGGUGACUGGAACGCGUGGUGUAGCGGUGAAAUGCGUAGAUAUCACGCGGAAGGCCAAAGGCGAAGGCAAGUCACUGGUGCGCAACUGACGCUGAAGCACGAAAGCGUGGGGAGCAAACAGG